AGGUACUUCGUGGAUCAUUUUCAUUGGCUAUAGAUUUUUUUGUAAAUUUGUUGUCCCUACUUAUAGAUAUAUACUAAAAAGUGUAUUUAGAAGCAACAUUGUCAUUACAGAAAUUCCAUAUCAGGGGUAGAAGAAAAGUAAAAAUUUUCGUUAAAAUAAUUCUACAAUUAUUGUGUACCGUUUUCUUGAUAUGUAUGGGAUUCUUUAAUAAUUACAAGAAAGUAGUGACAGAAGCACAAGAGAUUGAUGAAAAUUCAAUAAAUAAUGAACAGAUAAUAUAUUAAAAAUUAGUAAAUCCAAUUUUCAAGAUGUAAUUGCUUCAUUUACUGAUACAGCAAUGGUCAUUUAUUAUUUACACCAAAAACAAUACAAGUUUUUGUUACAUUCGAUGAAUAAGAGUAAAGAAAUGAAAAAAAUAAUGCUGUUAGAUUGUGUGCCAGAAUUAAAUGGAAAUAAAGAAACAUUUGAAAAACUGUAUAUACAUUUUUUGGCGUCUUAAAAAAUUAUUUAACAAAUUUUGAUCUAAAUAAUAUUUUAGUACUAAAAUCAGUACAUGAAAAAGAAAAUUUCUUUUCGAAAUAUAUAUUUUUACAAAAUUUGAAAAUUAAAAUUGUUGAAGUGCUUUUUAAGAACAAAUGAAUAAAUGACUUAUAAUAAUUUUUUAUUCUUAAAAAUACACAAAUGCCUGAAAAAAUAAAUAAUCUUUAAAAAUAAAAUCUUUAAAAGUAAGUUGAACUGAAAAGAAAUCUUUGUCAAAUCGAAGAAACGAAAAUUAUGACAUAAAAUAAACUUUAUCAACGAACGAGUUCUGAACGGAAUAUUAAAAUAAUAAUAAAAAAAAAGAAGAAAAAAACCUGUUUUGUGAAAAAAAAGAGUUGAUGUUUUUAAAAGAAAAUUGUACCUAAUUGUAAUUUUCUUUUUAGUAAAUUUCACGACUUCUAAAGUAAGUUUCAUUUUACUAAAUUUGUAUAAAUAUACAAAAGAAAAAUUAGGCCAGAAGAAAGAAAGAAGAAAUCGUUUAGAACUGAAGAAAAAUCUUUGUCAAAUCGAAAGAGCGAAAAAACAAAAAUUAUGACGUAAACAAACUUUUUCAACGAACGAGUUCUGAACGGAAUAUUAAAAUAA